CUCCGCACCGCAGCCGUCGAACAAAAAUCGCCGUUGUCGCCACAGCUCUCGAAUCCCAGGCUCUCCGUGCAUGACGUCAGUCCAUCGACGCCGAGGUCGAUGAAUUUAUCUGCCAUCGGCUGCGAGUGGGGCUUCACGAUGGAUGCCGAUUCGACGACAUUGGGUGGACGGUGGACGGGGAAAUCUCCGGCGGGAGUUAUCAACCCUAAGCCUUUGUUGGGUGAAGGGGAAAGAGGGAGGUGGUCGGACUCCGGCGGUGGCG
rnacentral:lncRNA from 1 species